AUUUUUAAUUGGAAUCUUGUUUGAAUGGUUAAAUGAAAUAAAUGCUUUUUUAUUUUAAUUUUUGAAUUUUAUUUUUAAGUAAAAAAGCUUAAAUAAUUAUAAGGGACGAGAAGACCCUAUAGAAUUUUAAAUAUAUUAUUAUAUUUUAUAAAUUUAUAAUUUUUAUUUUAUAUAUUAAUAAUUUUUUGUUGGGGCGAUAAUUAAAUUUUUUAAACUUUAAAUAUAUUUUCAUUUAUUAAUGUUUUUAUGAUCCUUUAUUAUUGAUUAAAAAAAUAAAUUACCUUAGGGAUAACAGCAUAAUAUUAUUAUGAAGUUCUUAUUUUUAAUAUUGUUUAU
rnacentral:rRNA from 1 species